GACGAACGCUGGCGGCGUGCUUAACACAUGCAAGUCGAACGGAAAGGCUCCAGCUUGCUGGAGUACUCGAGUGGCGAACGGGUGAGUAACACGUGGGUAAUCUGCCCUGCACUCUGGGAUAAGCCUGGGAAACUGGGUCUAAUACUGGAUAUGACCUUUCUCCUUAUGGGGUUUGGUGGAAAGUUUUUCGGUGUAGGAUGAGCCCGCGGCCUAUCAGCUUGUUGGUGGGGUGAUGGCCUACCAAGGCGACGACGGGUAGCCGGCCUGAGAGGGUGAUCGGCCACAUUGGGACUGAGAUACGGCCCAGACUCCUACGGGAGGCAGCAGUGGGGAAUAUUGCACAAUGGGCGGAAGCCUGAUGCAGCGACGCCGCGUGAGGGAUGACGGCCUUCGGGUUGUAAACCUCUUUCAGCAGGGACGAAGCGUAAGUGACGGUACCUGCAGAAGAAGCGCCGGCUAACUAUGUG
rnacentral:rRNA from 1 species